rnacentral:rRNA from 1 species
UACGGAGGUCCCGAGCGUUGUUCGGAAUCACUGGGCGUAAAGGGAGCGUAGGCGGCGUAGUAAGUCAGAUGUGAAAUCCCGGGGCUCAACCCCGGAACUGCAUCCGAUACUGCUAUGCUAGAGUAAUGGAGGGGUAGCUGGAAUUCUUGGUGUAGCAGUGAAAUGCGUGGAUAUCAAGAGGAACACUCGUGGCGAAAGCGAGCUACUGGACAUUUACUGACGCUGAGGCUCGAAGGCUAGGGGAGCGAAAGGG